rnacentral:miRNA from 1 species
GUAGGAUAAUGAGAGUGAGGAUGAGAGGGAGGACUAACAAAAGUGAAAACAAAAACUUAAAACUGAAAUCCAUUUGAAAUUGUUUUCAAUUUCAAGUUUUUGUUUUCACUUUUGUUACUCCUUCCUCUCAUCCUCUCAUGUCAUCUCCCCUCU